CGUUGAGGGUGUGUUUCGGCGCUCCUCAAAAAAGGUCGGCUACACCCCAAACUCCUCGCAUUACAACACAGCACGAGGAUAUGGUCGUUAAGCACUGUGACGUCACCAAUGACGCUGUGUUGGGCAAGAAGGUCAGGAGCGGCCGGCGCCGCCUCAGUGUCGGGCUGACAGACAGCAGACGUAGUUCCUUAGGCGGUGUCCCGCUUCUUAUAUCAUUUGCAGCUACACCGGUCAUCAGGGUCUGGCUCGACAAUGGCCACGAGUCUUCUUGAGAAACUUAAAGUGAACGGAGGACUAGUCAGUCACACAAGGCACGGAACUAGUUCUGACGUGACGUCGCUGCAAGUCUCGAUAGAGGUGGUUGGACGGUGUUCAACACGGGGCGACUGACAACGUUGCAGGAAUAUCUGAAAGAAAA
rnacentral:lncRNA from 1 species